rnacentral:rRNA from 1 species
GAUGAACGCUGGCGGCGUGCCUAAUACAUGCAAGUCGAGCGAAUGGAUUAAGAGCUUGCUCUUAUGAAGUUAGCGGCGGACGGGUGAGUAACACGUGGGUAACCUGCCCAUAAGACUGGGAUAACUCUGGGAAACCGGGGCUAAUACCGGAUAACAUUUUGAACCGCAUGGUUCGAAAUUGAAAGGCGGCUUCGGCUGUCACUUAUGGAUGGACCCGCGUCGCAUUAGCUAGUUGGUGAGGUAACGGCUCACCAAGGCAACGAUGCGUAGCCGACCUGAGAGGGUGAUCGGCUACACUGGGACGGCGACACGGCCCAGACUCCUACGGGAGGCAGCAGUAGGGAAUCUUCCGCAAUGGACGAAAGUCUGACGGAGCAACGCCGCGUGAGUGAUGAAGGCUUUCGGGUCGUAAAACUCUGUUGUUAGGGAAGAACAAGUGCUAGUUGAAUAAGCUGACACCUUGACGGUACCUUGCGAGAAAGCCACGGCUAACUACGUGCCAGCCGCCGCAGUAA